rnacentral:rRNA from 1 species
UACGAAGGGGCUAGCGUUGCUCGGAAUCACUGGGCGUAAAGGGUGCGUAGGCGGGUUUUAAGUCAGAGGUGAAAUCCUGGAGCUCAACUCCAGAACUGCCUUUGAUACUGGGAAUCUUGAGUAUGGAAGAGGUGAGUGGAACUGCGAGUGUAGAGGUGAAAUUCGUAGAUAUUCGCAAGAACACCAGUGGCGAAGGCGGCUCACUGGUCCAUAACUGACGCUGAGGCACGAAAGCGUGGGGAGCAAACAGG